UGAAAGUUUGAAUCUAGCUUUUUAAUCAGUUUUCUACUAAGAAUAAAAUGCAUGUAAAACUUAAUUUUUCCCAGAAACAUUAAAAAAAACAACGUAAAUCUGUUUAUUUCUUUUUCUGCCAACAGCAAUAAAUAUUGUGAAGCCAUUUAACAGAUGGGCCCAACUAUAGUAGAACAGAGUAGGGCACGCUCGAUGCCAGCAGCCGCGGUUAGAUCUACUUACUCAAGCUGAUAACCCCGGAACAAGUGAAACUCACUUAUCUUCUUUAUUUUCACCAUUUUAAAACUGACUUAAAACUAACUUCACUUAGGAAUAAAAUCCAAAUCAACAUUUUUUACUCAACUCUUCUCAAAACAAAUUUUUCACGAAAGUCUACAUAAAAACAAGGAUUAGAGACCCUUCUAUUGUUGACUAUAAACUAUAACAUCCAGGACAUUAUUGUCACAUGACAUAAACCCAAAGAUCUUGGCGGUAUCUUACACUACUCAGGGGAGCCUGUUAUCGAAACUGAUGAUCCGCAUUACUCCUUACCUUUUCUCGACUAUCACAGCUUAUACAUCGCCGUCGAAAAUUUACCUCAAAAAGUAUAAUAGUAUUAGGUUAUGUGAAUUUACUCUUCCUUACGUCAGGUCGACAUGUAGCUAAUGAAAAGGAAUAAUGGGCUACAAUUCUACAAAGUAAUGGAACUUCUAUUAAAACAGAAGACCAAACUGGACUUGAAAGUAAAUUAAGUUCUAAACACUUAAUUGAAUAUGCUAACUAAGAUGUGUACAAAUCGCCCGUCGCCCCCGCCGAAAGGUGGGGUAAGUCGUAACAUAGUAGGCGUAGCGGAAGCUGUGCCUAAAAUUCA
rnacentral:ncRNA from 1 species